CGACGUCGGUUCCUUCUCCUGACGGAAGUGUGUCAGGAGGAUUUUACGACGUCGCAGAGUAACGAGUCUGAUUCACCCAGGGAGCGUCGGGCUGGCCGGACUACGAGCUUCCUGGUUUUGCGAGACUCAACACAA